rnacentral:ncRNA from 2 species
GCAGCAUCCGAGGGGGGCCCUGGCAGAGGGCUGAGAUACCGUCAGGCCGCCAUUAUGGCAGGCGCAUGGUGACCCUGACACCUGAUCCGGUUAGCACCGGCGUAGGGACGGGAUCGCGCCGAAAA